rnacentral:lncRNA from 1 species
GGUCCUGGGGCUCGCGCGCCUGCCCAGGGACCCCCAGAGCUUCAUGGGGGUCAUCGGUCAGUGCAGACCCCUCCCCGGAUCCCCUCUGACCCGCCCUGAAAACCCCAAACCUCCCCCGGGAUCCCAAAACCUCCCCAAACCCUCACAAAUUCCCUCCCCCGGUUCCCCCCCAAAUUCCCUCCUGAACCUCCCCAAAACCCUCCAGAUCCUUCUGGAUCCCCCCAAAUUCAUCCCAAAACCCGGACUGGGGGGGAGAGGGGGCUGGGAAUGGGAUUUGGGGCAGGGAUUUGGGGAAUUUUGGGGGGUCCCCCCACCCCGGGGGCUCUUCGUGACUCCCCCGUCCCCCCCAGACCAAUCUACCCUGGACGAAGCCUCCCUCCAGUUCCGCCGGACACUGGCUCGGGUCAUGGCCCAGGAUAUUCAAGUUUAUUGCCCCAAUAAAUGCGGGCGGAUGGAGGUGUUGUGGAUCGAGUGCAUCUUCUGCAACCUCACCCACUUCGCCUGCAACAGGG